rnacentral:rRNA from 1 species
CGUGCCUAAUACAUNGCAAAUCGAACGAACUCUGGUAUAGAUUGGUGCUUGCAUCAUGAUUUUACAUUUGAGUGAGUGGCGAACUGGUGAGUAACACGUGGGAAACCUGCCCAGAAGCGGGGGAUAACACCUGGAAACAGAUGCUAAUACCGCAUAACAACUUGGACCGCAUGGUCCGAGCUUGAAAGAUGGCUUCGGCUAUCACUUUUGGAUGGUGCCCGCGGCGUAUUAGCUAGAUGGUGGGGUAACGGCUCACCAUGGCAAUGAUACGUAGCCGACCUGAGAGGGUAAUCGGCCACAUUGGGACUGAGACACGGCCCAAACUCCUACGGGAGGCAGCAGUAGGGAAUCUUCCACAAUGGACGAAAGUCUGAUGGAGCAACGCCGCGUGAGUGAAGAAGGGUUUCGGCUCGUAAAAUCUCUGUUGUUAAAGAAGAACAUAUCUGAGAGAACUGUUAAGGUAUGACGUAUU